AAAAAUAUUACAGUGUAACUCAAGAAAGAUAUCCCAAAUCCAUGUGUGUUAUAGUUUUUGACAUAGUUCUUACAUUUUUCAAAGGGUAUCCCUUUUAUAUACAGUAAUAAAAAUUUUUGAUAAAUUUUUUGCUUUUAUAUCAAUGAUAAUAUUACGAUAUAUAUUUAAUGUAAUAUUUUUAUUUUUUAUAUACUAAAUUUACUUAUUAUUUAUUGAAUUUUAUAUUUACUUAUUCUAAUAUUACGAUAAAUAUUUUAUAUAAUAUUUCUAUUUUUUAUAUUGUGUAAUUAUAUAUUUACUUAUUCUAAUUUUCUUGCUUUUAUACCAAAUGAUAAUAUUAUGAUAGAUUUUUAACGUAAUAUUUAUGUUUCUUAUAUUGUAUAUUUACUUAUUAUUAAUUUUUUCUUAUUGUAUAUUUACAUAUUAUUGUUUAAUAUAAUAUUUCUAUUUUUUUAUUUUGUAUUUUUACUUAUUAUUUAUUUUUCCUUAUAUUGUAUAUUUACUUAUUAUUUUAUUCUGUUUUUAGUAACAAUGCCACGUGUCAUCUAUCGGAAUAUGUAUUUUUCGCUGAUAUGGACGCUCUACGGAGCUUCAAAAUGUUUUUUUAUUAGUAUAGACUAGGGAUUAACCCGGGCUACGCCCGGGAUUUUUAUUUUUUUUCUAAUUUAAGUUGAUAAAUUAUUUAUAUUUAGGUUAUGAUAUAUAUUUAUAUAAAUUUUAAGAUGCAUGUCAUAAUUAAAAUUUAUUUUUAAAUUUUAACACGUUAAAUUAACAUAUUUUUUACUAUUUAAAUAUUUUUUGUAAUUUUGUUGGCUAUCUAGUUAUCAUAUUUAGCAAAACUAUAUGUUGAGUGUUGAAAUAAAUUUUUUUGAUAUUUAAUUAAACUACAGAGUAUUUUCUGAUCGAUCACAUGCUCAACA
rnacentral:lncRNA from 1 species